AAUAAAUAAAUUUAUGAGUUUUUGGAUAGGAUUUUUGACUAUUCGUCUUAUUUGAAAUUUUUUAUGAUUAAUAUUUUUAUUGUUAUUACAUGAUAAAACAUGAAUAGUACUUUACGUUCAACAAUUUUUUAAUAAAUUUUUUAAAUAAAAUAAUGGUCAAAUGCUCAACACAGAAAACUCACAAAUUCAUUUAUU
rnacentral:pre_miRNA from 1 species